UAGUCUGGGAUACCACUUGGAAACAGAUGCUAAUACCGGAUAAGAAAGCGGAUCGCAUGAUCAGCUUUUAAAAGGCGGCGUAAGCUGUCGCUAUGGGAUGGCCCCGCGGUGCAUUAGCUAGUUGGUAAGGUAAAGGCUCACCAAGGCGAUGAUGCAUAGCCGAGUUGAGAGACUGAUCGGCCACAUUGGGACUGAGACACGGCCCAAACUCCUACGGGAGGCAGCAGCU
rnacentral:rRNA from 1 species